rnacentral:rRNA from 1 species
UACGGAGGGUGCAAGCGUUACUCGGAAUCACUGGGCGUAAAGCGCAUGCAGGCGGCCAGAUAAGUUGGAAGUGAAAGCCUACGGCUCAACCGUAGAACUGCUUCCAAAACUGUUUGGCUAGAGUCUGGGAGGGGAAGAUGGAAUUAGUAGUGUAGGGGUAAAAUCCGUAGAGAUUACUAGGAAUACCAAAAGCGAAGGCGAUCUUCUGGAACAGUACUGACGCUGAGAUGCGAAAGCGUGGGGAGCAAACAGGAUUAGAUACCCUGGUAGUCCACGCAGUAAACGAUGAAUGUUAGUCGUUGGUAUCCUAGAGAUAUCAGUGAUGCAGUUAACACAUUAAACAUUCCGCCUGGGGAGUACGGUCGCAAGAUUAAAACUCAAAGGAAUAGACGGGGACCCGCACAAGUGGUGGAGCAUGUGGUUUAAUUCGAAGAUACGCGAAGAACCUUACCUAGCCUUGACAUAUUUUAGAACUCACCAGAGAUGGAGAGGUGCCUUCGGGAGCUAAUUUACAGGUGCUGCACGGCUGUCGUCAGCUCGUGUCGUGAGAUGUUGGGUUAAGUCCCGCAACGAGCGCAACCCUCGUCACUAGUUACUAACGGUUCGGCCGAGGACUCUAGUGAGACUGCCUUCGCAAGGAGGAGGAAGGUGAGGACGACGUCAAGUCAUCAUGGCCCUUACGGCUAGGGCAACACACGUGCUACAAUGGGCAGGACAAUGAGACGCGAUACCGCGAGGUGGAGCAAAUCUAUAAACCUGUUCUCAGUUCGGAUUGUAGUCUGCAACUCGACUACAUGAAGCUGGAAUCACUAGUAAUCGUAGAUCAGCUAUGCUACGGUGAAUACGUUCCCGGGUC